UGGGAGGCCGAGGCGGGUGGAUCACCUGAGGUCAGGAGUUCGAGACCAGCCUGGCCAACGUGGUGAAAUCCUGUCUCUACUAAAAAUACAAAAAUUAGCCGGGCGUGAUGGUGGGCACCUGUAGUCCCAGCUACUUGGAAGGCUGAGGCAGGAGAAUCGCUUGAACCNNNNNNNNNNNNNNNNNNNNNNNNNNNNNNNNNNGCCAUUGCACUCCAGCCUGGGUGACAAGAGUGAAACUCUGUCUCGAAAAAAAAAAAAAAACAAACAAGGAAUUAUCUUGAUCUGUUGAAACAAAACUACUUCAAGUUGGAACUAGUCUUAAAUUUUUUGACCAUAAAAGAAAAAAAAAAACAAAGAAUUGUCUUGAUCGAGGUGGUACAGGGUCAAUAGAAGCCGAUCAAAAUGGCAUUUGGCUUUGGAGGGGCAGUCAGUCCAGUCAGUCUGCCCUCCUGUAGGAUAUGACAUCUAAGUCACCUACCCUCAAAUAAAUGAGUGAUCAGUGUUUACAAGGCAUCUGGGAAGCUUGUAAGAUGCAGAUUCCUGGGCUCCAACCACAAAGCAUCCGACUCUGUGGGACCACAACAGGGUCCGAGACUCUGCACUGCAAUAGCUCACACCUGAAUCUGGUGGAGAGGAACAAUAAAAUAAAUGUGACUGGCCAGGUGUGGUGGCUCAUGCCACCUGUAAUUUCAGCACUUUGGGAGGGAGAGGUGGGAGUAUUGCUUGAGCCCAGAAGUUCGAGAGCAACCUGGGCCACAUAGUAAGACUCCCAUCUCUACAAAAAAAAAAAAAAAAAAAUCGAAAAACAUUAUCUGGGCAUGGUGGUGCGUACCUGUAGUCCUAGCUACUCAGGAGGCUGAGGUGGGAGGAUUGCUUAAGCCCAGAAGUUCAAGGCUGCAGUAAGCUAUGAUUAUGCCAUUGCACUCCAGCUUGGGCAACAGAGUGAGAUUCUGUCUCUAUAAAUAAAUACAUAAUAAAUAAGUGGGGCUGCUUGAGGGCAGAGACCAUGAUCCUCAUGAGCCCACAUUAACCAGUCUGUGCCUAGCACAUAGGAGGUGCUCAUACAUGAUUUCUGAAUGAAUACUUAAAUUAAUGAAUGGUUGCCAGUGUUAUGAUACACUCUUCAAAUACAGCAACUUGGGCCAGGAGUGGUGGCUCACGCCUAUAAUCCCAGCACUUUGGGAGGCCGAGGCAGGAGGAUCACUUGACGUCAGCUGCUCAAGAUCAGCCUGGCCAACAUGGUGAAACCGUGUCUCUACUAAAAAUACAAAAAUUAGCUGGGCGUGGUGGCAGGUGCCUGUAAUCCCAGCUACUCAGGGGACUGAAGCAAGAGAAUCAC
rnacentral:lncRNA from 1 species